AUGCAGCUGAUGAGUUUCAAACAGGACGAAAUGCGAUUCCUGGAU
rnacentral:hammerhead_ribozyme from 1 species